AGUUUAGCUAAUGACACAAAUUAAACUAUGGACUGUUGAUGGAACUAUAAAGCUACAAAACCGUACCUGAAGCGUCGAUCUCCUCACACUCAAAGUCUCAAACGUCGUCAAAUUAAAAACAAUUUGUUAAUUUCGCACGGUUUAGGUCGUCGUGUUUAUCUGUCUUUAAGCUUGUCUCGUUUCAAAUUACAUAUGACGUGUGGAACUAAGUUCUGUUAAUAAUUUGUGUAAUAAUUAACUAACAAAUAAAAAAAACUGUUCAAACUAUGAAAGCAUAGCAUACACGUACGGGAAGGAAAAAAUUAGGGGGG